rnacentral:rRNA from 1 species
UACGUAGGGGGGCUAGCGUUGUCCGGAAUCAUUGGGCGUAAAGAGCGUGUAGGCGGCCCGGUAAGUCCGCUGUGAAAGUCGGGGGGUCAACCCUCGAAUGCCGGUGGAUACUGUCGGGCUAGAGUGCGGAAGAGGCGAGUGGAAUUCCUGGUGUAGCGGUGAAAAUGCGCAGAUAUCAGGAGGAACACCGAUUGCGAAGGCAGCUCGCUGGGGA